rnacentral:rRNA from 1 species
GCCUACGGGGGGCAGCAGUAGGGAAUCUUCCACAAUGGGCGAAAGCCUGAUGGAGCAACGCCGCGUGGGUGAAGAAGGUCUUCGGAUCGUAAAACCCUGUUGUUAGAGAAGAAAGUGCGUGAGAGUAACUGUUCACGUUUCGACGGUAUCUAACCAGAAAGCCACGGCUAACUACGUGCCAGCAGCCGCGGUAAUACGUAGGUGGCAAGCGUUAUCCGGAUUUAUUGGGCGUAAAGGGAACGCAGGCGGUCUUUUAAGUCUGAUGUGAAAGCCUUCGGCUUAACCGGAGUAGGGCAUUGGAAACG